UUUUCCCUUACAUCUACCGGGUGUGGGAACUCACCCAGCGCAUCCGACUCCACGGCAAUGCUGCCACAAGCCAGAUCACUGGGACCACUCAGAAAAAGGGAACACAGAAAUCUCGCAUGCCAGCAAAAGGGUAAGAAUUUGUUACCAGUCAGAUUUCUGAUUUCUCUCUCUAUGCAAAUGGUUGAAUGAAUGGUAAAAUAAUAAUAAUAAUAAUAACAAAUCAAUAAAUCAGUGUUUAUCUCCUCUGUAAAGUUUUGAUUAAUGUGAAAAAGAAUUGUAAGGCUAGUCUUAAGCUGGUGUAUUUUGUGCUUUGAAUUCAUUUUUCUGUAGGAUAAAACAUGGGCUUAGAACACCUGUAAGCCCGCUUUUCAAGACGACCCAGCAAGCUGGUCAAGUCCCUGACACAAACAAACUGGAUGAAGUCUCCCCCUUGUUUUAUGUCCUUGGGAGCUUGGCCUUUUAACCAUGUAGUGGUACCUUCUCUUGGUCUCUGCCUUCUAGGGAACAGGAAUUUUAGGGUUCAUGUCAUAGUCAGCUCUAAAAAUCAUAUUAAGUAGUUAAAAGCCCUUGCAAGCUCAAAAUUAACUACUCUAGGCUUCUGUGAAAGGAAGUGGGCAUCGUCCUGUGCUGUAGCUCAGUAACUAAGGUUUUUGCACUUCCACAGUGGCAGUCUGGGUUUGAUACCCCACCUAGGAAGUAAGUCAUUUCUGGUUUAAUAUCUGCGGGACCUUGUCUAUUCUCGUCUCCUCCACAGACUGUUUUAAAUUGUCCUUUUUCUGUGCACCUAGGAGAUAACCUUUGGUAAAGUUCAGAAGCUAGAAAUAUUGGCUUCUUGGCAUGGCUAAAGUUGGGUAAUAAGAGAUUUGAAAGGAUUUCUUUUUUAAAGAGCACUAUGGUUAAAAGUUAGCUUAAUUAAAAGUGGAUAGGCUGGGUGUGGUGGCUUAUGCCUGUAAUCCCAGCACUUUGGGAGGCCGAGGCGGGUGGAUGACUUCAUUACUGGAAGCCAGUAAUCCAGUUAAAAAACUGGCAAAUGAAAAACCUUACAAGUGCUGAAUCUUUUGUGUGUCUGUGUAUUUAUAUGUGUUGUAUGUUUAGAUAUAAAAGAGUUCUAAUUAGAGUUCUAAUUAAUUGCCUUAGAAAAAUAAGUGCUUAAAUCAAAUAUUUUGUCAGCAAAAUAGAAACUGUAAUGCAUUUUUGUUCUUGUGACUUUAGUAAUCUUUUGGAAAGAAAGACAGUUUUAGAGAUUAUUGGUAAAAUAAAAUAUCUUGAAAAUGUAGAUGCUUGGUCUAAAUUAAGGUCAGAUAUCAGAUUGCUAAAUGCUUUAAGGUCAAACUGUUUCUUUAACUUUUGAAAAUUGUUCAAUUUACCUACCCUUAAAGCCAGUAGAUUCUAGGUAAGGCCUGGGGACCUCUGGAGUUAGCCACACCCCCUUUUAACCAUAGUGCUUUUAACCAUAGUGCUCUUUAGUUAUGCUGGAGAUUCAAUUCCUAUUUGCACUUCUGCCUGGUGUGUCCUAGGCAGGCUCCACACCUAGUACAUAAUUAAAAUUCCUUACUUACCAAGGUUUUCACCAAAAAUAAAAGUUGCUAAGAGUUAACAUUAUAACAUGUAACUGACACUACUAAAGAAACAAUUUUACAUGGAAGGGGUGUAAGAAAAGCAAAUGUGUUUUUGGUUAAAAAAAAAAAAGAAAAA
ensembl:lncRNA